CCCUUUCCCUUUCUCUCAUUGGCUGUGAGUGGCUUGAUCUCCUUCGGCGGGUCUGAGGAGGAAGUGGUCGCUGAUGACUCCAUGUGAGAAUGAGAAUCAGAA